AUUGAACGCUGGCGGCAUGCUUUACACAUGCAAGUCGAACGGUAACAGGCCGCAAGGUGCUGACGAGUGGCGGACGGGUGAGUAAUGCAUCGGAACGUGCCCAGUCGUGGGGGAUAACGCAGCGAAAGCUGCGCUAAUACCGCAUACGAUCUAUGGAUGAAAGCGGGGGACCGUAAGGCCUCGCGCGAUUGGAGCGGCCGAUGUCAGAUUAGGUAGUUGGUGGGGUAAAGGCUCACCAAGCCAACGAUCUGUAGCUGGUCUGAGAGGACGACCAGCCACACUGGGACUGAGACACGGCCCAGACUCCUACGGGAGGCAGCAGUGGGGAACUUUGGACAAUGGGCGCAAGCCUGAUCCAGCAAUGCCGCGUGCAGGAAGAAGGCCUUCGGGUUGUAAACUGCUUUUGUACGGAACGAAACGGCUCUGGUUAAUACCUGGGGCUAAUGACGGUACCGUAAGAAUAAGCACCGGCUAACUACGUGCCAGCCGCCGCUGUAACAC
rnacentral:rRNA from 1 species